GUUUAUUUAUGCUGUUUCUCCUUGCUAGAAUGAAAGUUCCCAAAAGGCAGGGAUCUGUUUUGGUCACUGCUUUAUCCUCCGUGCCCAUCAGUGCCCGGCACAUUCCUUUCCUUUGCAAAGGAAAUAAAUUAAUUAUUUUACAAGUUUCACAAUGGCCCUUUGAGGCAGGAACCUUAUUAUCACCCACUCAUUCAUUCAUUUAUUCAACAAAUAUUUAGUAAGUACCUACUAUGUGCCAGGUACUGCUCUGUGUAAUGUCCGUAAAUCAUCAGUGAAUUAAAAAAACAAAGACAGCCAGGUGUGGUGGCUCACGCCUGUAAUUCUAGCACUUUGGGAGGCCGAGGCAGGCAGAUUGCCUGAGCUCAGGAGUUUGAGACCAGCCUGGGCAACAUGGUGAAACCUCGUCUAUACUAAAAUACAAAAGAAAUUAGCUGGGUGUGGUGGCAGGCGCCUGUAGUCCCAGCCACUCGGGAGGCUAAGGCAGAAGAAUUGCUCAAACUCAGGAGGCAGAGGUUGCACUGAGCCGAGAUCAUGCCACUGCACUCCAGCCUGGGAGACACAGCGAGACUCUGUCUCUUUAAAAAAAAAAAAAAAAAAAAAAAAAGACAAAGACGAUGCCCUUGAGCUCACAUUCUAGUAGGGGGAGAGAGAUAAUAAGCAGUGAACAUAAUAGAAUGUAAAUUAUAUGGUGUGUUAAAAGGUGACAAGCUCUGUAGGAGGCAAAAAACAACAGGAAGAGGGAUUGUGAGGACAUGAAGGUUGCAAUUUUAAAUAGGGUGGUUGGGUGAAAAGGAGGCAUUUGGGCAAAUACUUGAAGGAGGUGUGGGAGUUAGCCAAAUGGAAAAGAGCUCCCAGAAAGAGGGACCAGUAAGUGCAAAGCCCUAGGGCCUGCAGCUGGGGUGGAGUGGGCCUGGAGGGGAGGAGGGGAGGCCAGAGGUCGGGGGAGAUCUGGUAGGACAUUGAAUGAGAAGGGAAGCCAUGCAAGGUCUGAGGAGGAGACAGAAUCUGACUUACAUUUUAGAAGGAUUGGUCUGUCUGCUGUGCUGAGAAUAGACCACAGUGGGGCAAGGUCAGAAGUAAUGACUACAGGGAGGAGCUGUUGCAGAAAUCCAGGUGAGAGCUCAGGCUGAGGACUGGGACCAGGUGGUAGCAAUGGAGGUGGGGAGAAGUGGACCAAUGCCAGAUGUAUUCUGAAGGAAGAGUGAAUGGGAUCCUUUAUGGAUUGGAUGGAAGGAGGUGAUAAAAGAAGAGGGGGUGCAGAGGAUGCCUACAAUGUUUUGUAGACAGUGACCCUGAGAUCUAGAGAAGAUGUAGUGUGAGGCCACACAGCUAGUCAGUGGGUGGGGGUGGAGGAGAGGAGGAUGGGACCAGGGUGGCGGGAAGGUCCUCAGGUCUAGGACAGCAUCUGGGAGAGGAUAGGGGGAAGGACUCUGGCAUAGCUGGUCACAAACCAGCCCCAGGGCAACUGAGCAUUGAUUUGAUCAAUGGCUUUUUCCUCUUCCCUUGAAUUCCCCUAUGAUGGCCUUUUAAUUGGGUCCAUUUGUUCCAAGGCCGUGGGCUGAGCUGAGCAGACGCCAAAUGAUAUGCCUAUUAUUAAAUAGAUUAGGAAAUGGCCCUACAUCUUGGGCGGCCAGAAAAACCAGAGUGACUGAACAGUGUCCCUGAGGAGUAACACGUGUAUUGUGGAAUACUGGAUGUAUUGCAGAAUCCCUUCCAGGCACCUUGCCUUUCCUAUGCUGUCCCUGCGUCUACAGAAUCCUUCUGACUUCCUUGCUCACCUGAAAUGUGUCUCCUCCUCCAAGAUUCACUUCAAAUCCCCUCCUCGGUGAAGGAGCUGAAGGAGCGCGCUAAUCGCCACCCCUCCCUCAGCCUGCCUGAGCUACUGCCACAGAGAACUCACACAUCUGCCUGGCAAGAGAUCCAACCUGAAUUGGAGGGUCUGCCCUAGGGGACACUGUCCAAGUCAGGGUUGUCCAGGGAACAGGAUUACCCAAAGAACAUUUAAAUAACAAUCCCACUUCAGUAAAAAAAAAAAAAAAGAUGUCUCCAUUUCCUGAGCUGGAGUCAAAAAGGGUGGCUGGGAGGCAGCAGAGAAGAGGAGUGAGUGUAAAUUCCGUGUGAUGGAAAUGAGUGGCAAUUUAAAUUCGACUGGAGAAAAAGAAAACUUUCAUGUCAGUAUCAAACUCAGACCAUUUUUAAAAAUCGGUUUCUUCCAUUUUAGACAUUAUAUACUGGUUUCCUUUUGUGAAAUGAGGCUUUAGUUCUCUUCCUUCUCUCAUUCUCCCAUUGCAAUUUUUGAUUAAAUAUUCAGUGCUUCCAUUUUUAUGAUGUCAAAAAUGUUGCUCACAGUGACAUCUUAGGGCAUUCUAUGUUUAUAUUUUCUUUCUUGCAUAACUUUUUGUUUUUCCUGGAAUUAAUAACUGCCUCACUGUACAUUCCUAAGAAGGACAUAUUCUAAGGACAAAGAGAACUAACUCUAAAGAAAUCUGAAGCAGUCUUUGUAAUCAUAUUACAAGUACGGUUACCCCUGAACAUCAUGGGCUUGAACUGCAUGGGUCCACAUAUAUGCAGAUUUUCUUCUGCCUCUGCCACUCCGGAGAUAGCAAGACCAAUCCCCACCUUCCACCUUUUCCUCAGCCUACUCAAUAUGAAGAUGAGAGGGAUGAAGAACUUUAUGAUGAUCCACCUCCACUUAAUGAGCAGUAAAUAUAUUUUCUCUUCCUUAUGUUUUCUUAAUAACAUUUUCUUUUCUCUAGCUUAAUUUAUUAUAAGAAUACAGUAUAUGAUAUAUGCAACAUACAAAAUAUGUGUUAAUCAACUAUUUAUAUUUUCGGUAAGGCUUUGGUCAACAGUAGAAUAUUGGUAGUUAAGUUUUGGGGGAGUCAAAAGUUAUAUGUGGAUUUUCAACUGCGUGAGGGGUUGACAUCCCUAACCCCUGCACUGUUCAAGGGUCAACUUUAAUACUAUUGAUGGUGUUAGUUUGAAACUAUUACAUGUAGUAGGAUAUAAUGAAAAUCUAAUUAUGUUAAUGUCACUGGAAACCAACAUUUUCAACAUAAGAGAAAAGAGAUACGAAUAUAAAAUCAAAGAAGAAAAAACUACUAUCAGUAUAGUCUUGGAUUUGGAAACAUCUGUAUAAACUCAUGAUGCUUUUUUCUCUUUAAAAAGUAUUCUCUAUUUCUAACUUCUAAAAAGGCCUGGGAACAAUAACUAGCCCUGUGAUGCUGAGCACCUCUAGUACCCGCUUCAAAGGUUCUAAAUGUAUUUCCUAUUAAAAGGAACAAGGGCUUCUUGGAGAAAUGGCUGAUUCUGGGUUCGUGGCAGGAAAUGCAUAAGAUGGGUUCAGAAUAUUUUGUCAUACAAAAAGCAAGUUGUCAGCACUACUAACGUUGUGUUUAAAGGACAUAAAAACCAACUUGAGGACUGUGCUGCACAAAGAUGGGGUAUUUUAAGUAUCAAAAAGAAUAAUGCCUACGAUGGAUUGAAACAUACAAAUCUGAAACUUGUGUUUCAAUCUAUGAGUUUAUAAUGAUACUAAGAGCAAACAAACAAGCAAACGUGUAGGUCUGUUCUGUAGGUUGGUAGCUUAUCAAUGUAUUAUUCUGAAAGGCAGGUUAAAAGGAAAAGAAUCUGUCUUUCCUAUACAAACUGUAUUUCAGAGUAACUAAAUAGACACCGAGGAAAAUUCUUCUUUACUGAACUCCAGCCAAUAAAUGAAGAAGGUAUCACAGAAUUAAAUAUCAUCAUUUUGCAUGCCCUAAUCAAUUAAUGCCUGUAGGCCUGGGGUGUCCAAUGUGGCAGCCACUACCCACAAGUGCCUACUGAACAUUUGAAAUGUGGCUUAUCGGAAUUGAUAUGUGGUAUAAGUGUAAAAUACACACUAGAUUUUUGAAGACUUAAUACAGAAAAGAAAGAUUGUAAAAUAUCUUGGUUUUUAUAUAAUAUUUUUGAUAUAACAGAUUAAAUAAAAUAUAUUAUUUAAAUUAAUCUCAGUAUUUCUGAUUACUUUUUUAAUGUGCUUACUUUAACAUUAAAAAAUAUACCUAUAUGCUUUGCUUUCUAUUUCUACAGGCAAGUCUGAGCAGUAAUCAUCCCAAUGGUUGCUAGUCUGAUAACACCAGAACCCAAUGGCCAAUAUUAACAUCACAAAAAAGAGAGAGAACUAGACAUUAUGUCCUGCUUUAUGGGGUACAAAGAAGUACACACCACCUCCUAUGAAGAAUUCAUAGGUGAACCUGAAUUUGAUCAAACCUCUAGAUCUAACUACCAGUUUUCAGAAAAUACAGGUGACUGAGGAAGUUGAGAUAGCAAUAGGUGAUGAAAUUAACCAAAUCCAGAAUUUGAGAACCUUUAUAGGAUACACGACUCAGUUUCUUUAAUGGCAAAUUAAAAAAAAAAAUAAGUGUGGAGGAGGAGUAGACAUCAGAAUGGAGGUCAAAGCCAAGGUUCCAUCUCUUCUCCCUGCUACAGAGAUAUGAGGCCCCAACUCCCUAAAUACUCAGAAGCCACCUCAGAGGAAACAGGGAGAAAAUCUGAAACAGAAGAGAGACUGGACAACAUUUUUCUCCAGCCCUCUGUGGGGCAGGCACACAUGAGAAUCAGCAGAUCUGUUACAGGCAACAAAGGAGCUGUGUUUUCUUGGGGUAUAUAUUCCCAAAGGCGAUGCCUGCUGGAAAUGACUCCUCUGGGCCUGCAUUUACUCUUGCUAGGUUGACAAGUUGUCUCCAUGGUGGGGAACCUGGCCUUGAUUGCUCUAAUUGGCUGAAAUUCAUACCUUCCCACCCCCAAGCUCUGUUUUCUUUCACCCAGUCCUUCCCUGAUCUCUAUUGUCCUGUUUGCACCCCCAGAAUGCUCAUGACUUUUGUAUCAAAGAAAAACAUCUUCUAUGUCAGGUGCAUGACUCAGCUGUUUCUUUCUCUUUAUUGUCCUCUCUAUAAAUACCACGUGUUGAUGUUCAUAGCCUGUGGUUGCUUUGUGGCCAUCUACAAUCCAUCAUUGCAUGAGGUCACCAUGUCUCCUCAGGUGAGAGAGAGAGAGAGACUGGAUUUGCUGGAACCACUCCCACACAGGGCACAUACUUAGGCCGACCUUUUGUAGUAUUGAUGUCAUCAACCAUCAUCUUAUGACAGCCUCUUGGUCCUCUAAGUUUCUUGUACCAGCACCUGUGCCAAUGAAGUAGUGGUUUUCACUGUGGUGGGUAUUAAUAGUACAGUAUCCAGUCUUUGCUUCUCUUACUUUCAUUUAACUUGCUCAAGGCAAACUAAAACCUUUCAGCACCUGCAGCUUUCACGUCAAUGCCAUUUCUGUUUUCUUUGAGUCAGUGGCAUUCAUGUAUCUCAAAUAUUUUUCUCCAGGGUCUAUGAACCAGGAGAUGUUGCUUUCUGUUUUCUGUUACAAUUUGAGGUCUGUGCUGAACUCCCUGUUUAAAGCCUGAGGAACAAGAAGAAUGCUGGUUAAAAAUCCAGGAAAGUGGUGAUAAUGUAGGGAGAUCUGUGAUGGUUAAUUAUAUGUGUCAACCUGACCGGGCUAACGAAUGCCCAGAUGGCUGGUAAAACAUUGUCUGUGAGAAUGCUUCUCAAAGAAAUUAGCAUGUGAGUAGGCGAACUGAGUAAAUCAAAUGGCCCUCCCCAAGGUGGGUAGUCAUCAUCCAACCCAUUGAGGAUGUGAAUUAAAGAAAAGGUGGAGAAAGGACAAAUUCACUCUCUCUUUCUCACUCUCUUUUUUUUUUUUUUUUUUUUUUUUUGAGACAGAACCUUGCUCUGUUGCUCAGGCUGAAGUGCAGUGGCGCAAUCUUGGCUCAUUGCUGCAAAUUCUGCCUCCUGGGCACAAGUAAUUCUCCCACUUCAGCCUCCUAAGUAGUUAGGACUACAGGCGUGGACCACCACCCCUGGCUAAUUUUUGUAUUUUUUUGUAGAGACAGGGUCUUGCCACAUUGCCCAGGCUGGUCUUGAACUCCUGGGUUCUUGAACUCCUGGGUUCCAGCAAUCUGCCUGCCUUGGCCUCCCAAAGUGUUGGAAUUAUAGGUGUGAGCCACUGCACCCCACUUUUUUUUAUUUUAGAAACAGAUGCUCUGUUUCCCAGAGCGAUCAUAGCUCACUGCAUAGCUCACUGCAGCCUCGAACUCCUGGGUUCAAGCAAUCCUUCCACCCCAGCCCUUGAGUAGCUAGGACUACAGGUGUGAACCACCACACUUGGCUAAUUUAAAAACUCUUUUUUAUAGAAACAAGGUAUCGCUUUGUUGCCCAGGCUGGUCUCGAACUCCUUGACUGCAGUGAUCCUCCCGCCUAGGUCUCCCAAAAUGUUUGGAUUAUAGGCAUGACCCACCGCACUCAGCAUGCUCUCUUUUUGAGAGGGAACAUCCACCUUCUCCUGCCCUUGGAAAUUGGGGUUCUGGUCCUUGGGCCUUCAGACUUGGCCUAAAUGACACCAACAGCUUUCCUGGUUUUCCAAUUUACAGACAGACAGUAGAUCAUGAGACUUCUCAGAUUCCAUAAUCCUGUGAGCCAG
rnacentral:lncRNA from 1 species